AUUGAACGCUGGCGGCAUGCUUUACACAUGCAAGUCGAACGGCAGCACGGGGGCAACCCUGGUGGCGAGUGGCGAACGGGUGAGUAACACAUCGGAACGUGUCCAGUUGUGGGGGAUAACCCAUCGAAAGGUGGGCUAAUACCGCAUGAGCUGGCAACAGGAAAGCGGGGGACCCGCAAGGGCCUUGUGCGAUUGGAGCGGCCGAUGUCCGAUUAGCUAGUUGUGGGGUAAAGGCCUACCAAGGCUUCGAUCGGUAGCUGGUCUGAGAGGAUGAUCAGCCACACUGGGACUGAGACACGGCCCAGACUCCUUACGGGAGGCAGCAGUGGGGAAUUUUGGACAAUGGGGCAACCCUGAUCCAGCCAUGCCGCGUGAGUGAAGAAGG
rnacentral:rRNA from 1 species